rnacentral:rRNA from 1 species
UACGUAGGUGACAAGCGUUGUCCGGAUUUAUUGGGUUUAAAGGGUGCGUAGGCGGCCCUAUAAGUCAGUGCUGAAAUAUCCCGGCUUAACCGGGAGGGUGGCAUUGAUACUGUAGGGCUUGAGUAAAGUUGAGGUUGGCGGAAUUGACGGUGUAGCGGUGAAAUGCUUAGAUAUCGUCAAGAACACCUAUUGCGAAGGCAGCUAACUAAGCUUUAACUGACGCUGAGGCACGAAAGUGUGGGGAUCAAACAGG